rnacentral:SRP_RNA from 1 species
GCUGGGCAUGGUGGCGUAUGCCUGUAAUCCCAGCACUUUGGGAGGCUGAGGCGGGAGGAUCACCUGAGGUCAGGAGUUUGAGACCAGCCUGGCCAACAUGGUAAAACCCCGUCUCUA